GAUGAACGCUGGCGGCGUGCCUAAUACAUGCAAGUCGAGCGAACAGACGAGGAGCUUGCUUCUCUGACGUUAGCGGCGGACGGGUGAGUAACACGUGGAUAACCUACCUAUAAGACUGGGAUAACUUCGGGAAACCGUAGCUAAUACCGGAUAAUAUAUUGAACCGCAUGGUUCAAUAGUGAAAGACGGUUUUGCUGUCACUUAUAGAUGGAUCCGCGCUGCAUUAGCUAGUUGGUAAGGUAACGGCUUACCAAGGCAACGAUGCAUAGCCGACCUGAGAGGGUGAUCGGCCACACUGGAACUGAGACACGGUCCAGACUCCUACGGGAGGCAGCAGUAGGGAAUCUUCCGCAAUGGGCGAAAGCCUGACGGAGCAACGCCGCGUGAGUGAUGAAGGUCUUCGGAUCGUAAAACUCUGUUAUUAGGGAAGAACAAAUGUGUAAGUAACUGUGCACGUCUUGACGGUACCUAAUCAGAAAGCCACGGCUAACUACGUG
rnacentral:rRNA from 1 species